rnacentral:rRNA from 1 species
UACGUAGGGUGCAAGCGUUAAUCGGAAUUACUGGGCGUAAAGCGUGCGCAGGCGGUUGUGCAAGACAGGUGUGAAAGCCCCGGGCUCAACCUGGGAAUUGCAUUGGAAACUAGCGGGCUGGAGUGUGGCAGAGGGGGGUGGAAUUCCACGUGUAGCAGUGAAAUGCGUAGAGAUGUGGAGGAACACCGAUGGCGAAGGCAGACCCCUGGGCCAACACUGACGCUCAGGCACGAAAGCGUGGGGAGCAAACAGG